rnacentral:rRNA from 1 species
CAAUAGCGUAUAUUAAAGUUGUUGCAGUUAAAAAGCUCGUAGUUGGAUUUCUGGUUGAAGCGACCGGUCGGGCGUUGAUUCGUCUGCACUGGAGUCGGUUUUGGCCAUCCUCUAGGAAAGUGCGUCUGGUAUUAAGUUAUCGGGCGUAUGAUCCUGGUCUUUUACUGUGAAAAAAUUAGAGUGUUCAAAGCAGGCUUUCGCUUGAAUACAUUAGCAUGGAAUAAUAAGAUAGGACUUUGGUGCUAUUUUGUUGGUUGAGCCUAAAGUAAUGAUUAAUAGGGAUAGUUGGGGGCACCUGUAUUGCGUUGUCAGAGGUGAAAUUCUUGGAUUUACGCAAGACAAACAGCUGCGAAAGCGUCUGCCAAGGAUGUUUUCAUUAA